UACGAAGGGGGCUAGCGUUGCUCGGAAUGACUGGGCGUAAAGGGCGCGUAGGCGGCUUGCACCGUCAGAUGUGAAAUUCCUGGGCUUAACCUGGGGGCUGCAUUUGAUACGUGUGGGCUUGAGUGCGGAAGAGGGUCGUGGAAUUCCCAGUGUAGAGGUGAAAUUCGUAGAUAUUGGGAAGAACACCGGUGGCGAAGGCGGCGACCUGGUCCGUGACUGACGCUGAGACGCGAAAGCGUGGGGAGCGAACAGGAU
rnacentral:rRNA from 1 species